AAAAAGUGAAUGAUGCGUAUUCUAAAGCAUAGUUCGGCCAAAAAUACGUACUUGUAUUUAUGAGGAGUCUUUACACCAUCAAAAUGUCUUUCGCUCCUAUCUGACAUUUUCU
rnacentral:snoRNA from 1 species